rnacentral:rRNA from 1 species
CAAAAGUAUUUAACCUCCUUGUCAAAGCUUGCUCUCGUCAGAUCUCAGAAGAUAAGCAGAGCUGGGCCUGGUAAGUACUUGGAUGGAUGUGAAACCACUGGGAAUAUCAGGUGCCACUGUGGG